CCGCAAUUCUCUAUUGAUGGCACUGCCUGAAAAUUAUUCUUCUUCACCCGAGGCUAUCCGAAUGUAAAUUGAGUGGAAGAUAUAAUUGUGCUGCUACUGGAACCGUGGUACAAAAGGACUUUCCACAUGGAGGCAAUCCAGAGUCUGUUUGUACAGAGUUUUAUAUACAUAUUUCUCACAUUUGUUCAAUUAAAAUUGAUGACCAAAGA